UACGGAGGGAGCUAGCGUUGUUCGGAAUUACUGGGCGUAAAGCGCGCGUAGGCGGCUUUGUAAGUUAGAGGUGAAAGCCCGGGGCUCAACCCCGGAAUUGCCUUUAAGACUGCAUCGCUUGAAUCCGGGAGAGGUGAGUGGAAUUCCGAGUGUAGAGGUGAAAUUCGUAGAUAUGGGGAGGAACACCGGUGGCGAAGGCGGCCACCUGGACGGUCACUGACGCUGAGACGCGAAAGCGUGGGGAGCAAACAGG
rnacentral:rRNA from 1 species